UGACGAAGCUCCUAAGUGUGGAUGCCGGUGGCCCGUCGCCGCUCCAGCCGCUGUGUGCAACGAUCGUAGUUCGCGAAAUCACGAUGGAUGUUGACGAGGACGGUUUGUUCGAUGCACCCUUGCCUCUAAGCACAAUUCUCAACCAUGUUGGGGACGGUGUCAGGUGUCUCGUCGAAGGCGACGAAGUUGUUUCGGCGGGCCACAUCAUUGAGUGUAGUGCCGUCGCUUCCACCUGCUGCUCUGACGGUCCUGUGCACGUUAUCGCAUUCGUGCUGCAGUCGUCCGCGCUUAGUAAAGACCCACACCGAGUCGGCCUGAAUUUAACCGUCGAGACAAAGACAGCAGAAUUGAACUGCACAUGCCCUGCAGGGUAAAGUAUUGCCGCAAGUUGUUCGGAUGUAGUUGGUCGCGGCGCGUAUCGCGAUUUGUUUACAUUACAUCAUACUAAGCUGACUCGCGGAUUUGCUAUGUGUUUACGUUAUGCGAUAAAUUUAGAGAACUUAUGUUACUUUAUCAAUUUUUGUUUUUAGCUAGACCUACGAAAUCGCGAGUUAGUUUCAGAGUGUUACUACCAUUGUGAAAUGCUUUCGAGUCGCUUUAUAACUAGUUGCAACCGUUACACGAAGCUCAAAUAAAGCAUGCAACGUAUAAUUUA